GCUCUCUCUAUCAAUUCGCUUUUCGUGCUUCCAAUGACCGAGUAAAUCUACGAUUCUCUGUUCAUUCAUUUCAUAGAAAUUCACGUUUAACUCUCUGCGUGCUCCUUGAUCCAUUUGAGUUCACUAAUGGAAUCGAAGAACGGAAUUUUAGAAUUAGGUUAUGUUGUGAGGGAGUUUUGCAAACAGGGCAUUAAGCCAGGGGAGUUGGCUAUCAUUUCCAAAGAAGUGGUUGGGAGUGUGAUAAAGAGUCCAGAAAUAUCUGGUCUUGUUCCUACUCUACUUAAGGGACUUUGUCAUCCUAAAGAGCAUACAAAAUAUUCCCUUAAUAUUCUUCUUCAAGUAAGUUGUGGUAUCACUUGCUAAACAAUGGGCAUUUGAAGAACCUUCUGUGGAGACAAUAACUGGUGAAAAUGUUUUGACAUAGCCACAUGUGAAAUGGCCUCUAUCAAGUUCCUCAACUUGACUUGCACGGGAAUAUGCUUGAAGAUCCCAAUGGCCGAGGGGCGUACGUUGUGUGCUCUUCCGAACGUUAAAUACGUGCUCUUUCGAACGUUAAAUAUGUGUUCAUCAUUUAUAUAAUAAUUUGGGCCCAGGUAGUGAUGAGCAUCUUGAAAGGAAGAUUCUAGAUCCUGAGCGCUUGAGUAGGGUGGAAUCAAUUUUUGGCAAUCUUUCAGAAACCAUCAAAAUAUAUGGUCCUUGGUCUUCUGCAUGGGUAGGAGAAGCUAGAGGGGUCAUACAACAGUGGUGGCAAUCAUGUUUCUAACAGAUUUCUAAACAGCUUUUGGUACUUAGAUCAACUUGGAAUAGCAUCCUGCUACAACACUAAAGUCUAUUGCAGGCAGACUUUAAUUGGAGGGAAUUAUGGCCUUCUCAAUGCCACCACCUUUGCUCCCAAUCCUGACUACUACAGUGCAGUUUUGUGGCAUCGGUUAAUGGGAAAGAAGGUUCUUGCAGUCUCAAGUGAUGUUCAUAUUAAAGACUUUUACCUACAGUUAGAAAAUGUAAGUAGAAGUUAAUAACUUUUACCUACAAUUGAAGGUAAUAGAUACAUAUUAAAGACUUUUACCUACAGUUAAAAAAUGUAAGUAGAAGUUAAUGACUUUUACCUACACACUAUACAUAGUGGGUAAAACCUAUAGUGACAGACAAUUAACCGUCAUUAUACGCUCCCUCAAAGUUGACAGAAGAAACUUCGUAGGACAAAGUCUAUCAUACAUUUACCUACAGAUUUUUUAUUUAUAGUGACAGUUUU